rnacentral:rRNA from 1 species
GACGAACGCUGGCGGCGUGCUUAACACAUGCAAGUCGAACGGCAAGGCCCUGCUUUUGUGGUGUGCUCGAGUGGCGAACGGGUGAGUAACACGUGAGUAACCUGCCCUUGACUUUGGGAUAACUUCAGGAAACUGGGGCUAAUACCGGUUAGGAGCUCCUGCUGCAUGGUGGGUGUUGGAAAGUUUCGGCGGUUGGGGAUGUACUCGCGGCUUAUCAGCUUGUUGGUGGGGUAGUGGCUUACCAAGGCUUUGACGGGUAGCCGGCCUGAGAGGGGGACCGGCAACAGUGGGACUGAGAUACGGCACAGAGUCGUAAGGGAGGCAGGAGUAGGGAAGAGUGCACAAUGGGCGGAAGCCGGAUGCAGGAACGCCGCGUGAGGGAUGACGGACUUCGGGUUGUAAAGCGCAUUCGCCUGUGACGAAGCGUGAGUGACGGUAAUGGGUAAAGAAGCACCGGCUAACUACGUG